rnacentral:lncRNA from 1 species
UUUCUGCUGCCCCUGUCACAGGCUCCACAGCAGAGUGGUUCUUCUGAUGAGGACGUGAGGCCACAGCAGCAAGAAAAGGUGAAGGA